rnacentral:misc_RNA from 1 species
GAUGAAGAACGCAGCGAAAUGCGAUACGUAAUGUGAAUUGCAAAUUCAGUGAAUCAUCGAGUCUUUGAACGCACAUUGCGCCCCCUGGUAUUCCGGGGGGCAUGCCUGUCCGAGCGUCAUUGCUGCCCUCAAGCACGGCUUGUGUGUUGGGCCCCGUCCUCCGAUCCCGGGGGACGGGCCCGAAAGGCAGCGGCGGCACCGCGUCCGGUCCUCGAGCGUAUGGGGCUUUGUCACCCGCUCUGUAGGCCCGGCCAGCGCUUGCCGAUCAACCCAAAUUUUUAUCCAGGUUGACCUCGGAUCAGGUAGGGAUACCCGCUGAACUUAAGCAUAUCAAUAAGCGGAGGA